CCAACAGGGAUUGCCUCAGUAGCGGCGAGUGAAGCGGCAAGAGCUCAGAUUUGAAAUCUCACCUAGUGUGCGAGUUGUAAAUUGCAGGUUGGAGUCUCGGGUUAGACGUGUGUGCAAGUCCCUUGGAACAGGGCGCCACUGAGGGUGAGAGCCCCGUAGCGUGCAUGUCGACACCUGUGAGGCCCUUCUGACGAGUCGAGUUGUUUGGGAAUGCAGCUCUAAGUGGGUGGUAAAUUCCAUCUAAGGCUAAAUAUUGGCGAGAGACCGAUAGCGAACAAGUACUGUGAAGGAAAGAUGAAAAGCACUUUGAAAAGAGAGUGAAACAGCACGUGAAAUUGUUGAAAGGGAAGGGUAUUGGGCUCGACAUGGGAUUUACGCAUCGUUGCCUCUCGUGGGCGGCGCUCUGGGUUUUUCCUGGGCCAGCAUCGGUUUUCGUUGCAGGAUAAGGACAAUUGGAAUGUGGCUCCUCGGAGUGUUAUAGCCUUUUGUAGAUGCUGCGUAUGGGGACCGAGGGCUGCGGCGGACUUGUUUCGUCUCGGAUGCUGGCACAACGGCGCAAUACCGCCCGUCUUAAAAACAACGGACCA
rnacentral:rRNA from 1 species